CAGCCGCCGCGGGAAUACGUAGGUGGCAAGCGUUGUCCGGAAUUAUUGGGCGUAAAGGGCUCGCAGGCGGUUUCUUAAGUCUGGUGUGAAAGCCCCCGGCUCAACCGGGGAGGGUCAUUGGAAACUGGGAAACUUGAGUGCAGAAGAGGAGAGUGGAAUUCCACGUGUAGCGGUGAAAUGCGUAGAGAUGUGGAGGAACACCAGCGGCGAAGGCGACUCUCUGGUCUGUAACUGACGCUGAGGAGCGAAAGCGUGGGGAGCGAACAGGAUUAGAUACCCCAGUAGUCCCUGUCUCUUAUAC
rnacentral:rRNA from 1 species